rnacentral:rRNA from 1 species
CAGGAUGAACGCUGGCGGUCUGCUUAACACAUGCAAGUCGAACGCAGACUUCGGGUUGAGUGGCGGACGGGUGAGUAACGCGUGAGAAUCUGCCUUGGGGUCGGGGACAACCACUGGAAACGGUGGCUAAUACCGGAUAAGCCUAUGGGUAAAAGAUCCAUUGCCCCAAGAGGAGCUCGCGUCUGAUUAGCUAAUUCGGUGAGGUAAAAGCUCACCACUGCCGCGAUCAGUAUCUGGUCUGAGAUGACGAUCAGUCACACUGGGACUGAGACACGGCCCAUACUCCUACGGGAUUGCAGCAGUGGGGAAUUCUCCGCAAUGGGCGAAAGCCUGACGGAGCAAUACCGCGUGAGGGAGGAAGGCUCUAGGGUUGUACACCUCUUUUCUCAUGGAAGACGCUCUGACGGUACCUGAUGAAUCAGCCUCGGCUAACUCCGUGCCAUCAGCCGCGGUAAUACGGAGGAGGCAAGCGUAAUCCGGAAUCAUCGGGCGUAAAGCGUCCGCAGGUGGCGAUUCACGUCUGCUGUCCAAGCACGGGGCUUAACUCCGUUAAGGCAAUGGAAACUGAAUAGCUAGAGUGCCGUAGGGGUAGCGGGAAUUCCCGAGUGUAUCGUGUGAAAUGCGUAUUAGCAUCGGGAUGAACAUCGGAUGGCGGAAAGCGCUCUACUGGACGGUGACUGCCACUCAUCGGACGACGGCUAUCGGAGCGAAUGGGAUUAGAUACCCCAGUAGUCGCUAGCUGUUAACGAUGGAUACUAGAGGUAGCCUGUCUCGACCCGAGCUAUGCUGAAGCUUACGCGUUAAGUAUCCCGCCUCGGGUGUACGCACGCAGGUAUGCAACUCAAAGGAACAGUCGGGGGCCCGCACAACCGGUGGAGCAUGGGGGGCAAAUCGAAGCGACGCGACGAGCCGUACCAGGGCAUGACACGUCCGGAAUCCCGGUGAAAGCUGGGAGUGCCUUCGGGAGCCGGAACACAGUUGGCGCAUGGCUGUUCGUCAGCUCAUGUCGUGAGAUGUUGGGUUAAGUCCCCCAACGAGCGCGACCCUCGUCUUUAGUAGCCAGCAUUAAGUUGGGCACUCUAGAGAGACUGCCGGUGACAAACCCGGAGGAAGGUGGGGUUGA